UAAGGAAUUUUCCGCAAUGGACGAAAGUCUGACGGAGCAACGCCGCGUGAGUGACGACGGCCUUCGGGUUGUAAAACUCUUUUCCUUGGGAAGAGCAAGGACGGUACCAGGGGAAGAAGCAUCGGCUAACUACGUGCCAGCAGCCGCGGUAAUACGUAGGAUGCGAGCGUUGUCCGGAGUUAUUGGGCGUAAAGCGCACGUAGGCGGUGCGGUAAGUGUGGUGUGAAAUCUGGGGGCUUAACUCCCAGCGGUCGCUGCAGACUGCCGCGCUGGAGGGCUGGAGAGGAAGAUAGAAUUCCCGGUGUAGUGGUGAAAUGCGUAGAUAUCGGGAGGAAUACCAGUGGCGAAGGCGGUCUUCUGGCCAGUUCCUGACGCUGAGGUGCGAAAGCUAGGGGAGCGAACGG
rnacentral:rRNA from 1 species